CCUUUGGAGUGUUACAACCACUUGAGUAGUAUUAGUAAUAAUACGAAAAAGAACACGUUGAAAAAGGAA
rnacentral:sRNA from 16 species